rnacentral:rRNA from 1 species
GUACACGCUGUGACUAGCAUAUCAAUAAGCGGAGGAAAAGAAACUAACAAGGAUUCCCCUAGUAACGGCGAGUGAAGCGGGAAGAGCUCAAAUUUGAAAUCUUAAAGGGUUUCCCUUUACGAAUUGUAGUUUAAAGAAGUGUUUUCUGUUGAGGUUUUGGUAAAAGUUCUUUGGAAUAGGACAUCAUAGAGGGUGAGAAUCCCGUAUUUGACCUUUACUUUCAACUUUGUGAUACACUUUCAAAGAGUCGGAUUGUUUGGGAAUGCAGUCCAAAAUGGGUGGUAAAUUUCAUCUAAAGCUAAAUAUUGGCGAGAGACCGAUAGCGAACAAGUACCGUGAGGGAAAGAUGAAAAGAACUUUGAAAAGAGAGUUAAACAGUAUGUGAAAUUGUCAAAAGGGAAGCGUUUGACACCAGUGUUGUUUUUCUGAAAAUCAAUUAAAGAACUGUUUAUGCUAAGUUGUUUAGACUUUAUCAGCUAACUGUUUAGUUUUGAGCUUUUCUUUAAUGCACUUUUCAGUUAACAAGUCAACAUCAAUUUCUUUUGCUGUAAAAGAGCUUGAGGAAGGUGGCUUGAGAUUCGUCUUAAGUGUUUAUAGCCUCUUGCCUAUGCAGUCGGAGAGAUUGAGGUCUGCAGCGUAGAUCCUUCGGGGCUAAAUGCAUUUGUGCUAAGUUAUAGCAUUUUAUAGACAACUUGUUGACUAUGAUUUGUCUUGUAGCUUACUCGCUUAUGUUAUUUUACCUACGCUUAGGAUGUUGACGCGCGUGUGUGCGUG